AGGAAUAUUGGUCAAUGGACGAGAGUCUGAACCAGCCAAGUAGCGUGAAGGAUGACUGCCCUAUGGGUUGUAAACUUCUUUUAUAUGGGAAUAAAGUGAGCCACGUGUGGCUUUUUGUAUGUACCAUACGAAUAAGGAUCGGCUAACUCCGUGCCAGCAGCCGCGAUAAUACGGAGGAUCCGAGCGUUAUCCGGAUUUAUUGGGUUUAAAGGGAGCGUAGGCGGGUUGUUAAGUCAGUUGUGAAAGUUUGCGGCUCAACCGUAAAAUUGCAGUUGAUACUGGCGACCUUGAGUGCAACAGAGGUAGGCGGAAUUCGUGGUGUAGCGGUGAAAUGCUUAGAUAUCACGAAGAACUCCGAUUGCGAAGGCAGCUUACUGGAUUGUAACUGACGCUGAUGCUCGAAAGUGUGGGUAUCAAACAGGAUUAGAUACCCUGGUAGUCCACACAGUAAACGAUGAAUACUCGCUGUUGGCGAUAUACAGUCAGCGGCCAAGCGAAAGCAUUAAGUAUUCCACCUGGGGAGUACGCCGGCAACGGUGAAACUCAAAGGAAUUGACGGGGGCCCGCACAAGCGGAGGAACAUGUGGUUUAAUUCGAUGAUACGCGAGGAACCUUACCCGGGCUUAAAUUGCAACUGACUGAACCGGAAACGGUUCUUUCUUCGGACAGUUGUGAAGGUGCUGCAUGGUUGUCGUCAGCUCGUGCCGUGAGGUGUCGGCUUAAGUGCCAUAACGAGCGCAACCCUUAUCGAUAGUUACUAGCAGGUCAUGCUGAGGACUCUAUUGAGACUGCCGUCGUAAGAUGUGAGGAAGGUGGGGAUGACGUCAAAUCAGCACGGCCCUUACGUCCGGGGCUACACACGUGUUACAAUGGGGGGUACAGAAGGCAGCUACACGGCGACGUGGUGCUAAUCCCGAAAGCCUCUCUCAGUUCGGAUUGGAGUCUGCAACCCGACUCCAUGAAGCUGGAUUCGCUAGUAAUCGCGCAUCAGCCACGGCGCGGUGAAUACGUUCCCG
rnacentral:rRNA from 1 species